GAUGAACGCUGGCGGCGUGCCUAAUACAUGCAAGUCGAGCGAACAGACGAGGAGCUUGCUCCUUCGACGUUAGCGGCGGACGGGUGAGUAACACGUAGGUAACCUACCUAUAAGACUGGGAUAACUUCGGGAAACCGGAGCUAAUACCGGAUAAUAUUUCGAACCGCAUGGUUCGAUAGUGAAAGAUGGCUUUGCUAUCACUUAUAGAUGGACCUGCGCCGUAUUAGCUAGUUGGUAAGGUAACGGCUUACCAAGGCAACGAUACGUAGCCGACCUGAGAGGAUGAGCAGGCACACUGGAACUGAGACACGGUCCAGACGACUACGGGAGGCAGCAGUGGGGAAUGUUGGACAAUGGGCGAAAGCCUGAUAAAGCAAUGCCGCGUGUGUGAAGAAGGUCUUCGGAUCGUAAAGCACUUUAAGUGGGGAGGAAGGAAAGUGAAAGAAUACCUGCAGGGCUUGAAGUUACCAACAGAAGAAGCACCGGCUAACUUAGUG
rnacentral:rRNA from 1 species